AGUAUGUUGAUUAGAUUUUGCCAUAAGUUCCAUGUGAUGAGCCCUCUCAGAGAGACAAGGAAUUCUGUAUUUAUAAGAUUGGUCAUGGGGCUGAUGAGCCAGCUGCUAAGUAAGCUGCAGACCAAUGCUUGUACUAAGAAAAGAACAAAGUAUUUACUGAAACUCCAGUUAUUAAUUAAGUUCUGAACUGUCUGUGUCUGAACUGUCUGUGACUCCAUAUUUCUAAAGUAAAAACAUGGGAAGUAGGACAAGGCCAAAAGGUUUUCCCAGGUUUUUCUAAUCCUAAAUUAGGCAAUUGCUAGCCAGGAUCUUAGGGCCCUGUUGUUAAGAUCUAAAACAGCUUAAAUUAAGAAGAAUCAAAAAGGCUUUUUACUCACCCAUUCUUGCAGCUGUAAUUUGAAGUCAAGUUAAAAAAGAAAACAAAACUGACUGAUAUGCAAGUUGUAAGGCAAAGAGAUAAAGAAAAGAGAUUUCACAGAAGCCUUUUGAGGGUUUCUCAACAACUUCGUAAGGUCGCCAUAAACUCAGCAAGGAAGCUGGCUGAUACCAAAGGAGGAGUCUGCCAGAGGACAGAAGUCUGCGAGAGGAGGCUGAAGGCAUCAUCAGGACCCACCAGAUGUGAACGACUUAAGACUUUGGGAAUUGGGGUAGUGCUUUGAUUGUUAGUUUUUGGCCAAAGGCAGACUGCCUGCCUUUCUUGGCUCAAAUGUCAAUGCACCUGUGGCAUUGGGGAAUGUCCCCAAAUGCCAAUCAACAAUACCUGUGUCCCUAGACUUUCCCACCAGUAGGGGAUGGAGUCCAACCCCAUAUAACAUUACUCAUUUGUCCAUAUGUUUGGUCAGCAAUGUUUGGUCUUGACCAAAAGGGAGGGGGGUCAACAUGGAGAUAUAGAGAUCCCCAGGUUAUUUAGAGUGUAGAAAUCCCAGGUUUUGACAUUGUCACAGGAGAGUUUUCCCCCUGAGGGAAGGUCCCACUUCACCAGACAAUGGACAUCCUGGUAGUUUGGGUGGGAACAGCUAAUCCCAUCCAAUAUUAAGUAUCCCUUUUGUCCCUAUCAUUUCUCCCCCUAGGCUAAGGUCCAUGACCAAGGUGACCCUGGACUGAGUCUUUCCCUUUUGUGUCCUCUGUGGUGCAGUGGAUAGUGUCAGGUCUAGAGUCAGGAAGAUUCAUCUUUUUCAUCGAAGUAAUGGUCUUCAAAACCCAGCUACGAUGGUCUGGACACAUCAUCCGCAUGGACCCACAACGAAUACCAAGACAGGUAUUCUAUGGUGAACUGUCAGCUGGACUCAGGAAAUAAGGUUGACCAAAGAAAAGAUUCAAGGAUCAGCUAAAGUCAAACUUGAAGUGGGCUGGCAUUACACCAAAGCAACUAGAACCCGCUGCCUCUGACAAAAGCAGCUGGCAUACCCACAUUCACCAUGCCGCCACAACCUUUGAAGAUGAGCGACAUCGACAUCUCGCCGCUGUGCGUGAACGCCGACACCAGGCCACAACCGCACCUCCUGUAACAACUGGCGUCCCAUGCCCCAUGUGCCACAAACUCUGUGCCUCAGCCUUUGGACUUCAAAGCCACAUGAGGGUACAUCAAUAGAUGAUAAUGCACAAAGACAAUUGUCAUUCUCGGUCAUCUAGAGACUACCACUACUACCAUUGUAGGGC
rnacentral:lncRNA from 1 species